rnacentral:rRNA from 1 species
GCUCAGAAACUCAAUGAAUUGACGGGGCCCGCACAAGCGGUGGAGUAUGUGGUUUAAUUCGAUGCAACGCGAAGAACCUUACCUGGUCUUGACAUCCCGGAGACCCUUAGGAAACUAGGGGGUGCUUCCAUCUGGAAGAAUCUGGAGACAGGUGCUGCAUGGCUGUCGUCAGCUCGUGUCGUGAGAUGUUGGGUUAAGUCCCGCAACGAGCGCAACCCUUGCCUUUAGUUGCCAGCAGUUCGGCUGGGCACUCUAAAGGGACUGCCGGUGUUAAACCGGAGGAAGGUGGGGAUGACGUCAAGUCCUCAUGGCCUUUAUGACCAGGGCUACACACGUACUACAAUGGCCGAUACAAAGGGCAGCGACACUGCGAGGUGAAGCCAAUCCCGUAAAAUCGGUCUCAGUCCGGAUUGGAGUCUGCAACUCGACUCCAUGAAGUUGGAAUCGCUAGUAAUCGUGGAUCAGCAUGCCACGGUGAAUACGUUCCCGGGCCUU